rnacentral:rRNA from 1 species
UACGGGGGGGGCAAGCGUUGUUCGGAAUUACUGGGCGUAAAGGGCGCGUAGGCGGAAUGGCAAGUCGGUCGUGAAAACCUGCAGCUUAACUGUGGGCGUGCGGUCGAUACGGGCAUCACUGGAGUUCGGCAGGGGAGACUGGAAUUCCUGGUGUAGCGGUGAAAUGCGCAGAUAUCAGGAGGAACACCGGUGGCGAAGGCGGGUCACUGGCCCGCAACUGACGCUGAGGCGCGAAAGCGUGGGGAGCAAACAGG